UGACCGCUAGCGGCAGGCCUCAUACAUGCAAGUCGGACGGGAUUCAGGAGCUUGCUUCUGAUGAGAGUGGCGCACGGGUGCGUAACACGUAUGUAACCUACCUUUAUCAGGGGGAUAGCCUCUCGAAAGAGAGAUUAAGCCCGCAUAAAAUCACAGCACAGCAUUGUGUAAUGAUCAAAUAUUUAUAGGAUAAAGAUGGGCAUGCGGAACAUUAGCUAGAUGGCGGGGUAACGGCCCACCAUGGCGACGAUGUUUAGGGGAUCUGAGAGGAUGGCCCCCCACACUGGUACUGAGACACGGACCAGACUCCUACGGGAGGCAGCAGUAAGGAAUAUUGGUCAAUGGGCGGAAGCCUGAACCAGCCAUGCCGCGUGCAGGAAGACGGCCCUACGGGUUGUAAACUGCUUUUAUACGGGAAUAAACCCAGAUACGUGUAUCUGGCUGAAUGUACUGUAAGAAUAAGGAUCGGCUAACUCCGU
rnacentral:rRNA from 1 species